CAUGCGCAGUUUUGUGUACGUGUGACACACGGACACGACCAUUUAAGUGCGUGACAAUUCACUGACUCAUAUGCAAUCGCUCACUGCCUCAUAUGCACGCCAAACUUUUUGUAACACUUUGUAGUUUCUUGAGGUACAAUAAAGAAUCUUCAGAUGGCGCAACGAUGCAUGUUUUAACUAAACAUAUUCCUGCGAGUGAAAGUCGGCGUGCAGUUGUUGUGUAGCCGGCACGCAAUUCUAACUUCGUGCGAUAAGUAAUAUUACUUAAAUGAGUAUUCGCGUUUCUCGUGUUGUGAAUUCGGUGUAUCGCGUUAUAUUUGAUUGAAUUUGGUGUUAAUUGUCGUGUGUGGUUCUUCGCUAAAUAUUUAUCGCGUGUGUAAUCUCCGGGACUCGUUAUUUUGUGUGUUUAUUACAUUUUCGCGUUUAUUCGGGAUCGGUUGCCGUCGGACGCCGGCCGGCCAUGUUGUGUGAUUGUAAAUAAUAUUUUGGACUUGUGCGAGCCAUUUGUGUCUUCAGCAGAAUUCGAUGGGCAACUGUUGUACCUGUAUCUACUCGCAUAUGAUUUGCGGUGUUCGAUACACUGUGCUUGCCGUACCCGCGCAAUCCGAUGAGCGCUGAAUUGAGCUUGCCAUCCUCGUGCAAUCCAAUGAGCGCUGAAUUG